GAACAUUGUGGAAAACUUUACAGCUUGUUAAGCCUCAUCCAGAUGCAUAGCCAUCAUAUCACAAUCAUGAUUAGGGUUCAAUUAUCACCAUGUAAUCUCAAGUCAUCAUAUCAAUCAUGCGGUCUCCAUAGUAACUGUCAAUCAUGCUGUCUUUUGACCAUGCGGCUCGAACUUUAUCGUCUUAUAGCGGAACUCAUAUAGCCGACUCUCACAAUCCUAGUCAGAAUGUGAGUCUGAAUCUCAUCCAUUCAGCUGUGAUUACUGGGAGUGUUCAACCAAUACAGAGCGAUGGCUCUGCACUCACUGGAUAGACCUCACCAAACAGAGCAACGAAAUAACCAAUAAUGUAGCCUAGGCUUCAUCUUCUGGUCUUUACCACAUAUUGGUUGGUCUAAGUGUUCAGAAAUCGUUGUGCGAAUCAGUGAGGCCUAACUGCAUGGAAAAAAUAUGCAUCCAUAGCGUUUCUGUUGCAAUCAAAAUCAACCAAGGAGUGGACGUCACUGUCGUUCAUCUGUCCAUCAUCGUGUAAAGCCUGCCCUGACAGUUUAAUCAGUAUGUUCAGCUCUGGGUUGAAAAUAGUUCUGCUCUAACGGAGCUAUGCCAGACCUAACUUCCCGCUGGAAAAUGAUGUAGGCGGGGCCAAAUUCGGCUCCAUCCAGGCUAGAACUCACCGGUCUCUCCACUGUAGGCCUACAUUAACUUACUAAUUAGCUAUGGUCGUACUUGCGGUUACGUAUUUUCAUCGGUCUCGGUUCUGAUAUUAUCGUUAUGUCAUUUUACUCAACGUGCAGCCUAUCCUACCAUGCCUAAGUUUAGUUAAUCUCAUCACGUCAUAGACUUCAUCGUGUAUCGCGUGUCAUGCAUUGAUUCAUGGCGUGAAAUCAAAUUCCUCAUCAUGGUAUGCAAAUCCAUGCUAUACAUCUCGGCAUAGGCUACUCUCAAAGCUCGGCGUACGAGCGUACGAGCAAUCAGCGCAUCAUGCUGAGCUGCCCUAUGUCAGAUGGGCGAUCGUUCUCGUGUGUCGAGUUGCGGAAGGCUACCUAGAAACGGGAGCCGCCUUGCCAGUCUGGCCUGCAGAGAAGGUCCACAUUCGCAGGUAUUCGUCUGGUCUCUCUCAGGCUAACGUCGGCCUUGCACUGUAGCCUCUGUUCAUAAGAUUAUACAGUCGCUGACUAAACUCCAAGGCCGGUCAGAUUGAGAGUCAUACAGGAGCCACGGUGCGCUCCAGUCAACUGCAUCAUGCUACGUUAGGUGCUUAUCUUGGUAAACAACUUGUAAAUCAUUGUACAAUCUCCAAUGAAAAGAGGGCAAUCGGGGCACAGAUUGCAGGACUUUUCUUAAACUCAUGUCUCAGACGGCGUACUCAGGUGUUGAGCUACCAUAUUAGUUUCUCUCACAAAUGUUGGAUCACGCACUAUCGCUCGACCAUAAGCAUCUUGUCAUUGCAUUAGUUCAUUCAACUAGUCAUGCUAUCAUAUUCUAUUGCAUAGCAUCACCUUAUAUCCAUAGGUUAAAGAGGAACUAUACAGGAUUGGCGAUUUCUUCUGGUUUCGGUUCGUUUUUAGUUUUCGCUCGUUUUAUGCUUGCAUUUCUCUGCAGAGCUUCCCCGACAGCUUUAGCGUGUAUAUCUAUACAUGUAUAGGCUAUAUUUAAAUAAAUUGCAAGCGUGGUUCUUCGUCCCAGAUUUCCAGACGUAAAUGAGGAGCGAUCGUCUCCUGCAGAAAGUGGCAUAGGGUCUCUUUAAGUAUUAAUUAACCGUUGGUAUCUUCCGGCUCGUGAAAAUCCUUCGAAUGUCAUAGGCUACAAUUACAUGCCCACAAGUGCCAACGUUCCAUCAAAUACUUACUCGCUCGUUUGUUUUGGCACAUCGCAUAGUUACGCAUGUCCUUGCUUUUGCUUUCUCAGAGGCAUUAAUGCGUGUCGGAUGAGAUUCCUUUUGCUACCUCGUAAAGUUUCUGAUUUCGUUCUGCUAAUGCACCUUUAUCGGUCGUCCUUCGAGGGGUAUUCCGAGAGCAAGGAGCUUAGGGUUAACUCGCCUUCAAACCUGCUCUCAGGUCUGAUAGCUUCAUCUUUAUAGGAUGGUAACCUCUCCCUGGUAGCCAUAGCACAUUGUCAUGAGUUACACCAUCAUGAUUCUAAUCUGCCACGGAUCCCCUUAACACCAAUACGCUUUCUCCGGUAAAUUUUCAUUUAAGCAAGUUUCCUUGCCUUCUACCAACCCGUAUACCUCAUUCUCAUUUUUUCUCGCAAGCUUAUCAAUCAUCCAUAAUCAUCAUCCAUAAUCACAAUCAUCAUCAUCCAUCAUCCAUAAUCAACCAUCAUCCAUCAUCAUCAUCCAUCAUUAUCUAUUAUUCAUCAUCAUCCGUAAUCAUAAUCAUCCAUCAUCUAUCAUCAUCAUCCAUCAUUAUCUAUCAUUCAUCAUCAUCCGUAAUCAUAAUCAUCAAUCAUUCAUCAUCAUCAUCAUCAAUCAUUCAUCAUCAUCCUACAUAAUCAUAAUCAUCAUCAUAAAUUAUCCAUCAUCAUCAUCCAUCAUCAUCAUCCAUCAUCAUCCAUCAUAAUCAUCCAUCAUCAUCAAUCAUUCAUCAUCAUCCGUAAUCAUAAUCAUCAAUCAUCAUCAUCAUCAAUCAUUUAUCAUCCUCCAUAAUCAUAAUCAUCAAUCAUUCAUCAUCCUCCAUAAUCAUCAUCAUCAAUCAUCAAUCAUCAUCAUCAUCAUCAAUCAUUAUCAUCAUCAUUCAUCAUCAUCAAUCAUCAACGAUAUCAAUAGACUCAUGGCCAACUCGGGCCUUCGACUCAUGGCCAACUCGGGCCCCCCACUCUAUCUAUUUACACUCUAGCCUCACUCUAUCUACAGCACUGUCUAUUGGCACAUGGUUAUAGUUCUGUAAAUACAAACACUUCCUCAGCAACAAUGAGCAUUUCAUAAUCCUCAUACCUUUACUUGCAAAUACUGGUGGUGGUUACUUAACUCAAUUCUACUUUACUCAGUUUCUUGCUUUAUACUGGACCCCAAGAAUUACCUCAACUCGCACAGCCGGCACCUUAAAUAAUGGGUCCAAGCAGUGGUAAAUUAUCCCAUGUCCUCACUGCCCUUUCUUCAGUCUCAUACGAUCACAAAAUCACUCAACUGUUAUUAAUCACUUAUCACUUCUCAAUCAUUAUCAAUAGUCAUCAUCAAUCCUCAUCAUCAAUCGUACCAAUCGACUCAUGGCCAACUCGGGCCUUCGACUCAUGGCCAACUCGGGCCUUCCACUCGUACAACAACUUGACCUGACUCGACUUCAGUCGUUCAAAACAAUUAAAAGGUGCUAGGCCUUCUUGAUGCCCCUUUCCAGCUAAGGACUGCCCUGUAGAUCUUCAGAUCUAAAGACGGUCAAGUGAUGCCAUUCGGCUAAGGUUUCUAUGCCAAUUUAUGACUUACUUCAUAUACCUACAUUCUCUCGCUCUUUCAGUUUAACAGGAUAAUAAAACAUAAGCUGUUUAAUAUUGUUCUUUAUUUCAGUGAAGAUGAUCCAGCUAAGCUUCCAGUAACCUUAUUUUUGGGGGUAGGCUUCGCCCUCAUUCAGUGAAGACGAUCCAGCUAAGCUUCCAAUGGGUAACUUAUUUUUGGGGGUAGGCUUCGCCCCUGCUUCUCGUUCCGGCAGGAUUUGCCAGGGUCCGCACACUCAGUGACCUGGACCUAGGACGGGGCCUACGCCAAAGACUCUCAUUGUUGCUAAUUUCUAUUCUGAUUAAAAUCUUUGUUAACUUCAGUUAUGUCUCUGAGUAUUCCUGGCUGAAAUGUAGCGCCUGCGUAGCUGCAGCGUAGUUCUGCCGGGUAUACUUAAUACGUCAUUCAUUCAUUACCUUCGACCAAUCACCAGGCUACAUUGGCUUUAUUAAUGACUCUGCCCAGGCACCUGCCUUGUUGCUUUCAGGUGCCGAUUUUCGAUGUUCCCACCCUCCCUCCCUAAUCACCACCAGGUUGGUCCUCGUCCAGUUGUCCAGGGGGUAGGCUUCGCCCCUGCUUCUCGUUCCGGCAGGAUUUGCCAGGGUCCGCACACUCAGUGACCUGGACCUAGGACGGGGCCUACGCCAAAGACUCUCAUUGUUGCUAAUUUCUAUUCUGAUUAAAAUCUUUGUUAACUUCA